rnacentral:rRNA from 1 species
GUGUCAGCAGCCGCGGUAAUACCAGCUCUCCGAGUGGUGGGGAUGAUUAUUGGGCCUAAAGCAUCCGUAGCCGGCUGGACAAGUCCCCUGUUAAAUCCAACGAUCCAAUCGUUGGUCUGCGGGGGAUACUGUCCGGCUUGGGGGCGGGAGAGGCCGCCGGUAUUUCCGGGGUAGGGGUGAAAUCCUAUAAUCCCGGGAGGACCACCAGUGGCGAAGGCUGUCGGCUAGAACGCGCCCGACGGGGAGGGAUGAAAGCUGGGGGAGCGAACCGGAUUAGAUACCCGGGUAGUCCCAGCUGUAAACGAUGCAGGCUAGGUGUUAGGGCGGCUACGUGCCGCUCUAGUGCCGCAGGGAAGCCGUUAAGCCUGCCGCCUGGGGAGUACGGUCGCAAGGCUGAAACUCAAAUGAAUUGGCGGGG